rnacentral:rRNA from 1 species
GACAGAGGUCCCGAGCGUUAGGCGGAAUCACUGGGCUUAAAGCGUGUGUAGGCGGACUUCUAAGUACCUUGUGAAAUCCCACGGCUUAACCGUGGAACGGCUGGGUAUACUGGUUGUCUUGGGCCACUUAGGGGCUACUGGAACAAACGGUGGAGCGGUGAAAUGCGUAGAUAUCGUUUGGAACGCCAAUGGUGAAAACAAGUAGCUGGGAGUGUGCCGACGCUGAGACACGAAAGCCAGGGGAGCGAACGGG